CGACAAAUCUAUGUGACGUAUAAAAUUUUCUGACGUCAGACACGCGAAUCAACGAAUGGGUUUGUAGAUAGAUGUUUUUGUGUUCUAUUAUAUUGUUCCUUUUAAAAUUGUUACACGAUCAUGACUGCUGUACUCAUAUUUUGACUAUUUAAUUUAUUAUGUCUGUUUAGUUCGCGCAUCAUUGUAAAUAUAACGGAAUUUAAUGAGAUUGUCAUCAAAAUGAGAGGGUUAGCGCUAUAAAACCAGGUUUAAUCCACCAUUUUCUACAUUUGAAAAUGUCUGUACCAAGUCACGAAUAUGACAGUUCUUGUCCAUUCGUUUUUGAUGUGUUUUGUUAUUUGAUUUUGCCAUGUGAUUAUGUACUUUCCGAUUAUUCUCUAAGCUCAUUAUUUUUGUGAUUUUACUUUUUUCAUUGUCUGCAUAUUUUCAUAAUCUGUAUAAUUUAAUCGGCUGUAUAUUUUAAUGAACUAGAUAUAGGAAUAUGUGGUAUGAGUACCAAUGAGACAACUUUCCAUCUUAAUACAAUUUAUUAAAGUGACCAUUAAGGUCAAGGUACGGCAUUCAACACGGAGCCUUGGCUCACACCGAACACAAGCUAUAAAGGCCCAAAACAUUACUAGUGUAACACCAUUCAAACAGCAAAAUGAACGGUCUAAUCUAUAUUGAAAAACCCGAGGAAAAAGAGACGCACAUAAAUUACAUAAACAAACGACAACAACUGUACAUCAGAUUCCUGACUUUGGACAUGUGCAAACAUUUGCAGCGGGAUUAAACUUUUUAAUGGUACCAAAUCUUCUCCCUUUUCUGAAACAAUAAUCACAACAUAGUAAAUACAUAAUAAACACACUUUAAAAUAUCAAUUGGAAGGCUCAACUUAAUCAAACAAGCACACAUUAAUACACUAUGAACGAAUCAAUUUGGUCUGCGAUACCUGAAUGCAAAUACAUGGUUAAAGAAAAUUAUAAGGGAUGAAUAAUUAAGGUAAAAAAAAUAACUAGUUAGAAUUGUCUAUUUGAAUAAUCUACAUGUUUUUAUUAUCUGUAUAUUUUCAUUUUUUAUCUUAUCUUUAAUUUUUCAUUAUCUGUAUAUUUAAAUUUCAUUAUCUAUAUAUUUUCAUUAUCUGAC
rnacentral:lncRNA from 1 species